rfam:Plasmodium knowlesi strain H chromosome 9, complete genome
UUUCGAGAAUGAUGACAACGCUUCUCAUAUGUUCGCAGUUGAGAGUUCCAUUAGAACAACUCGAUGAAUUGUCUUUGUAGCCUUCACUUAGAUGUCUGACGCGGAAA